rnacentral:lncRNA from 1 species
CGGCCCGCGACGCCCGCGCUCGCCGACCUACCUACUAUACAACUAUAUUCACACCAGUGACUUACAUUCGUCGUAAAAACUAUCAAAAGUGAAGGAACUUAACAGUGGCAGACGCACAUCACCUGAUAACAGUCACCUCUGAGCGGAAACCAUUCAUCGAUAGUUGUUGGGUUGGCAACAUCUAACAUCAGGCGAUGAGCAGCACGCAGUGAGGAGCGCGGUGCGGCCCAGUCGGCCAUGGAGGACGAGGAGCGGAUAGCGCGCGACGCGGCCGCCUGCGAGCGC